GUCCAUGCCGUAAACGUUGGGCACUAGGUGUGGGACAUUCCACGUUUCCGCGCCGUAGCUAACGCAUUAAGUGCCCCGCCUGGGGAGUACGGCCGCAAGGCUAAACUCAAAGGAAUUGACGGGCCCGCACAAGCGGCGGAGCAUGCGGAUUAAUUCGAUGCAACGCGAAGAACCUUACCAAGGCUUGACAUGGGCCGGACCGGGCUGGAAACAGUCCUUCCCCUUUGGGGCCGGUUCACAGGUGGUGCAUGGUUGUCGU
rnacentral:rRNA from 1 species